UACAGAGGGGGCAAGCGUUGUUCGGAAUUACUGGGCGUAAAGGGCGCGUAGGCGGCCCGCUAAGUCGAACGUGAAAUCCCUGGGCUCAACCCAGGAACUGCGUCCGAUACUGGCGGGCUUGAAUCCGGGAGAGGGAUGUGGAAUUCCAGGUGUAGCGGUGAAAUGCGUAGAUAUCUGGAGGAACACCGGUGGCGAAGGCGGCAUCCCGGACCGGUAUUGACGCUGAUGCGCGAAAGCCAGGGGAGCAAACGGG
rnacentral:rRNA from 1 species